rnacentral:rRNA from 1 species
AGAGUUUGAUCCUGGCUCAGGAUGAACGCUGGCGGCGUGCUUAACACAUGCAAGUCGAACGAGAGGAAGGAAAGCUUGCUUUCCUAAAUCUAGUGGCGAACGGGUGAGUAACACGUAGGUAACCUGCCCAUGUGCCCGGGAUAACUUCUGGAAACGGAUGCUAAAACCGGAUAGGUAGCAGACAAGCAUUUGACUGCUAUUAAAGUGGCUAAGGCCAUGAACAUGGAUGGACCUGCGGUGCAUUAGCUAGUUGGUGAGGUAACGGCCCACCAAGGCGACGAUGCAUAGCCGGCCUGAGAGGGCGGACGGCCACAUUGGGACUGAGACACGGCCCAAACUCCUACGGGAGGCAGCAGUAGGGAAUUUUCGUCAAUGGGGGGAACCCUGAACGAGCAAUGCCGCGUGAGUGAGGAAGGUCUUCGGAUCGUAAAGCUCUGUUGUAAGAGAAAAACGGCACUCAUAGGGAAUGAUGAGUGAGUGAUGGUAUCUUACCAGAAAGUCACGGCUAACUACGUGCCAGCAGCCGCGGUAAUACGUAGGUGGCGAGCGUUAUCCGGAAUGAUUGGGCGUAAAGGGUGCGUAGGUGGCAGAUCAAGUCUGGAGUAAAAGGUAUGGGCUCAACCCGUACUUGCUCUGGAAACUGAUCAGCUAGAGAACAGAAGAGGACGGCGGAACUCCAUGUGUAGCGGUAAAAUGCGUAGAUAUAUGGAAGAACACCGGUGGCGAAGGCGGCCGUCUGGUCUGGAUUCUGACACUGAAGCACGAAAGCGUGGGGAGCAAAUAGGAUUAGAUACCCUAGUAGUCCACGCCGUAAACGAUGAG